UUUUUUUUUUUUUUUUGUGUACUUUUUUGGGUUUAUGUCAUAGCAUGAUGCUGUGGUGGGAUGGAGGGGGUGCGUGUGUGAAAGGGCAAGAAGUAACAAACACCAAUCACACACACAACAAUCCAUCAUCAUGCUUGGCACACACUUUCUUACACAGGUUCUCUCUAGAAAGAAGAGGAGAUUUUGAUGAAGAGGAGGGGGAGCCAGGGUUGCAUUUCCAUGAUUUCUUUCCUUUUGUUUUCUUAUUUUCUAUUUUGGGCUGUACUGAAAUGGGGUGCCUUAUGUUUGGUGCUUUUCCCCUUUUUUUCCUUCCUUUGUAUGCAUGAAUCAUGAUGAGAUGUAUCUCAUCUUUAGACUAUACUUAAACAUUUGUUUAUACUCUAUUUUGGGAAGGGGUGGAUUCAAAUGGAACCUAGCCGUCAUUGGACCAGACCAGAUGGUAUUUUGGGAAGGGAUGGACCUGGAGAGAAUUGAACCGCUCUUGGAUUAGAUGGAUGCCUUGUGUAUUCUUCGGUGAAAUUUUCAAGCAAACCUGAACAAAAAUGCAUCUCAUCUUUAGAUUAUACUUGAAGUGAACCAAAUGGGUGCAUUGUGUACUCUCCGGUGAAAUUUUCAAGAAAACCUGCAUAAAAUGCAAGCGAAGCUGAGUUGGUUAUUUUGAGAUUAUACUUGAAUAUUUGUUUAUAGUAUUUUCUUAAAAUGCUGAUUCUUUCACAUUUUCGCUUGCUAUGAUAUUUUUAAAUUCCUCAAUUUGUAUUGUGAAUUGAUAUUUCCAUUUAUAAACAGGACAUCACAAGUUUUGGAUUAUACUAUUUAAACAUUGGGCUCGACUAACAAGUGCAGCCAUGCACUUGUUAAGAUAGGUGCAAGUGUUAAUUUUGUUUGAAAGUAAAAUUAAUUUGAUAAAGUAUUUAAAUAUAGAAAGAUUGAAUGUGAGUGUAUAUAUUCACGUGAUAAAUUAAGUGUGAUUUAAGCGUGUUAACGAUAGCCCUCAAAGCACUUGUUAGAAAAUCGUAACGUUUGAUUCUUUUACAUUUUCACUUGAUUUUUUUCCCUAGAGAUUCCAUAAUACAGUAUUUGUAUCGUGAGUUGAUAUAAUCACUUGUAGACCAAUAUCAUAGGAUUCUUUUCUUUUAUAUUAGCUUACAAUCUAAUAAGCUAUAUUUAUUCAGAAAAAAAAGAAAAAAUCAUUCCUCACAUUUUGCAGAAUGACUUUUUUCGUCUCUUACUUUUAAGAGUGUAAUUUUACGUCCCUUACAAAUUCACAUUAAUCAAAUUUGGUCCCUACCUAUGUUUUCGACUAGUUUUUUAUCUGAAUCCACCAUGUGCCUUGUACGUGAUCAUUUUUUAAAGGCAAAAUUGUCAAAUCAAAUUUCGCAUAAUUCGAUUUUUUCGUCCCUCACAUUUUACAAAAUGAAAUUUUUCGUCCUUGACAUUUCAAAAAAUGAAUUUUUUCAUCCCUUACUUUUCACAAAAUUAAUUUUUUCAUCUUUCAUUAAUCAUGUGUAUAAUAGUUUCUUUCUUUUUUUAAGCCCAUGAUAUAUGUAUCUAUUUGAUUUCAUUUGAACAGUAUGAAUAUCAUGUAAUAUAUAUAUAUAUAUAUAUAUAUAUAUAUAUAUUUGUAAGGUUAUCAGUAAUUACUAAGGUAAGGUUACAUGAUUACAGAUUACUAAGGUUAUUAGAAGUAAUUACAUGGAGUUAUAUUGCAAUAACUAAGGUUACCAGUAAUUACAAAUUCCUCUUUAACCACAUGCGCCAAACAACCGCGCGAUGUGCUGGCAUUCAUUCUCUAGUGUGUAUAUAUAUAUAUAUAAGUUUUCAAAAAUAAGAAAAGGCUGUCGUACACAUAAUCAAUGAGGGAUAACAAAAUUUCAUUUUGCAGAAUGUGAGGGAUGAAAAAAUUUAUUUUGUAAAAUGUGAGGGACGAAAAAUUCAUUGUGUAAAAUGUGCGGGACUAUGGAUCAAAUUAUGUGAAAUGUGUUUGACAAUUUUACCCCUAAAAAUAAUCAUGUGCAAGGCACGUGAUAGAUUCCGACCAAAAACUAAACCUAAAUAGAGAUUAAAUUUGAUCAAUGUGAAUUUGUAAGGGAUAUAAAAUAUACUUUUAAAAGUGAAGAAUGGAAAAAGUUAUUUUACAAAAUGUGUGGAGCAUUUUCAAAGAUUUUCCAAAAAAAAAAAAAGAGUCCAAAAAAAAAAAAAGGUCUACCCAAAAGAAUCUGCAACUCUAUUGCAGCAACUUUUAACCACUUGUCAAAUGUCACGGAGUAUGUAUUACUAGUAGAUUAGACAAAAUGUGUGUGGUAUGGUGUACGUCUACAUCAUCACUCAAGUCAUUAAACCGGAAAUUCACCUCACAAAACGUUGCAGAAUCAAGAAAACUGUAAAAAGUGGUUUUCUCCACUAAAUUACUUUCCGUCCCACUUGAAUUAUAAGUACGAACUCCCGUACGAAAAAUUGCCAGACCAAACUCACGUACGAAAAAGGUCAAAUACAUAAGUUUGAAAAUUGCCAGACAAAUCCAAAUAAGCUAAUGUAUCAUGCUCCGCGCUGACUGCUACAAUUAACCUUCCCUGAAUUGGCAAAUUCCCAAAUCCCACCACCCCUACCAUCCUCUCUCGUCCCACCACCGCCACCACCUGUCUCUCACCUGUCUCUCAGAGGACUCCCGGGAUUUCACUUUCUUUCCCUAAUUAAUUUCCGGGUAUUAAUUGAACAGUAGUACUUCGUUUGCUACUGAUGCAAAUCCAAUGAGGUCAGAAUGUUCAGAUGGAUUAUUUGCUCAUCAGUUGGCAGUUCCAUUGACUGCUGUUUGCAGAUUGAAUGCUGCCGCUUUGGCAACCCCUUUUUUUCUUCUCAUUCUAUAAGGUCAGUGCAAACUAAAUUUACUCUUGUGAAAAUUGACUUUUUAAUUUUUUGUUUUCUGUUUGGCGGAGAAAUUGGGUUUGGAUUGAAACAAGAUUUGCUUGGAUUAAAUUCCAAAUUUUUGGAUUUCUUGCAGUGUUUGAGUUACUGAGUCAAAUGAUUAUUGGGUUUAGCAAAGCAUUCAUACUUGUUGGACUUGAUUGCUAUUUUCAUCAAACCAGGUAGCUGCAUUUUGCAUUCUUUGCUUACGGUUUAAGGGUGUCCUUUAAAUUUUUUUUUGCCCCCUUUAAUCGCUUAUUGCUUCAUGUUUACUGUGUUAGGUUUGGUUUUGCAGUUAACAUGCUUCUACAUUACACCGUAUCUUUGUUGAAGACAACAGAAUGUUGAUUCUUUCUUUUUUCUCGACCUUUCAUUUUUUUUAUUUAGCCUUUUCAUUAUUUGAAACCUUUAUGAGUUCCUCUGUUUCCCUGCUUUUACAGAUGGAAGUUGUUUGCCUCAACAGUGAGCCAGCCUUCAAUGAAGGUGAUGAAUAUGAGCAUGAAGGAGAUUCUGCCACGGGGGAAAAUGCGGAUGAACUGUGUGCAGCGCCGCACUUGAAAAGGGAGCCCCCACCACCCACAGUUGGUUUGGAGUUUGACUCUUUUGAUGAAGCUUAUGAUUUCUAUAAUGGCUAUGCCAAGGAUCAAGGAUUUGGCAUUCGAGUGAGCAAUUCGUGGUUUAGAUCCAAAAGGAAAGAGCGUUACAGAGCGAAACUCAGUUGCAGUAGUGCAGGUUUCAAGAAAAAAAGUGAAGCAAACAAUCCUAGACCAGAGACAAGAACUGGUUGUCCUGCAAUGAUAGUCAUUAAGCUUGUUGACUCUAAAAGGUGGAGAAUCGUUGAAGUUGAGCUUCAACACAAUCAUUUAGUGAGCCCUGAAAUCAAACGCUUUUAUAAGUCACACAAGAAAAUGAUUCUUGCCGCCCAGAAAUCACAGCAAGCUGAACCCGUUAAAGAAAUACAUACUAUUAAGUUAUACAGGACUUCAGUUAUCAAUGCAGCGCCCAAUGGGUACUCCAAAGUUAAGGAAAGAGAUGUUAGGCAUCCUACAGAUCACUCAAAGCAUUUGGAACUUAAAGAAGGGGAUGCACAUGCAGUCUACAACUACUUCUGCCGCAUGAAGUUGACGAAUCCAAAUUUCUUUUAUUUAAUGGAUCUUGAUGAUGAAGGACGGUUGAAAAACAUUUUCUGGGCUGAUGCUAGGUCCAGAAGUGCUUAUAUUUACUUUUCUGACGCAAUUGCAAUUGACACAACUUGCUUGACUAAUAAGUAUGAGUUGCCUUUGGUUUCUUUUGUGGGAGUAAACCACCAUGGGCAGUCUGUCUUAUUGGGAUGUGGUUUUCUUGGGCACGAGUCAGUUGAGUACUUCGUUUGGAUGUUCAGGUCAUGGCUGACAUGUAUGUUAGGCAGGCAUCCACGAGUUAUCCUCACUGAUCAGUCAAAAUCCUUGCAGAUGGCCAUCUCUGAGGUAUUUCCUGGGACUCGUCAUUGUUAUUGUCUGUCAUAUAUCAUGCAGCGUGUUCCUGAGAAAUUGGGUGGACUGAGGGGAUAUGAAGCUAUCAGGAAGCAACUGAAUCAAGCGGUAUAUAAUUCUAUGAAGAUAGCUGAGUUUGAAACUGCCUGGGGUAGCAUGGUCGGUCAGCAUGGGCUUGGGGAGAAUAAAUGGCUACAAUCAUUACAUGAAGAUCGACAAAGAUGGGUGCCAGUGUACAUAAAAGACACCUCUUUUGUUGGAAUGAUCCCUGUUAAAGAAAAUGAGGUUUCAAAACCUUUGUUUGAUGGCUAUGUUCACAAACACACAUCGUUCAAGGAAUUUCUGGAUAAGAAUGACCUUGCACUGCAAAGAAAGCUGAUGAAAGAAGCUACAGGUGAUACAGAGUCCAGAAAUUGCAGCUUUGAGUUGAGAACAAAAUGUAAUUUUGAGUUGCAGCUCUCCAAGGUGUACACCAAGCAAAUUUUUGAAAAGUUCCAGAUUGAAGUUGAAGGGAUGUACUCUUGCUUCAACACAAGGCAAGUCAACAUCAAUGGGCCUAUAAUAACAUAUGCUGUUAAAGAGCGAGUUGAAGUAGAAGAAAGUGAAAAGGAGGUUAGGCAGUACGAGGUUCUGUAUGAGACAACUAACAUGGAAAUAAGGUGUAUUUGCAGCUUGUUUAAUUUCAGAGGUUACUUGUGCAGACAUGCAUUGAAUGUCUUCAACUAUAAUGGUGUGGAAGAAAUCCCAUCUCAGUACAUCCUACCACGCUGGAGCAAAGAUUACAAACGCAGGUUUCCUCUAGAUCCUUUCCCCAACGACGUUGAUUUGAAUGACUAUGUGCUUAGGUAUAAUCAUCUACUUAGCCGUGCUAUUCAAGUCAUUGAAGAAGGGGCGCAAUCUCGGGAAUGCUGGAAGGCUUCCUUACAAGGAUUGGAAGAGUUAUGUAGGAAAUUCGCUCUUGAAAAUGUUGAUGAGGUUUAUUUGUAACCAUUAACUUCAUUUUUUUGGGGGGGUUUUUGGUCUCAACUGUUCUUGCACAUAUGUAUAGGUGUACAUAUACUCCAUAUCCUUGUCAUCCACAUUUGCAUUAUUCCAGUGUCUGUGUAGACAAGACUGAGCUCUCAAUUUAUCCAGAUUGGCCAAUACGAAGCUAGAAAUUGUCUAAUUACCAAUUUUCUGUCAUUAACAACCUACUGUUUGACUACUUUACUCCCCUGCUUCCUCACCAAUCAUCUCUUCUGGUUUUCCUAAUACCUAAGGUGCAAAAACUUGGAACGUCCACGCUAGUUAAUCCGAUUUGAUGAGAACCAUUCACUCGCAGAAGUUGUUCAGGGUUUCAAUCCACAAAAAUCCCAUGGCUUGGGGUUCUGGAUGCUGGCGCUACUUCAUUCAGUUCUGUUCCAGUUAAGAAGAGUUUUUUGACAUGGGCAUCAGCUCUGAAGCUCAUCAAAGCGAAGGGUUCCAUUGAAAAUGCAUGUCUUACCUAACAUUUUGAAGCUAAGCUUGUUCAAUUGUGAAUUUUGAUGAGACUCAUCGAAGCACAAAUUUUACAGUAUGUUACUUCGUUUCUGAAUGCACAGGUUUCUGGCUGAUAAGAUUAAAACUGUAAGAAUGAAACUGCAAUAGUUAGGGAACGUUCACAUCCUGUAUCCCAAAGCAGAAGUAGGUGCAAACUUAUCAAGCGUGGCACCAAGUGAUAAACAGGAGCAGGUGCAACUCACUUUGGCAUUCAGUUCUGCAACUGUUACGCAUGGAGGAAACGGUUGUCAUUUGCAUUGAAAGUAUACCGUUUCACAACCUUGAAGUUCUGGUUGUGAUAAAUGGCAAACUAAACUUCAAGUUAUAACUUAAAAAGUAUCUUAACUACUAACAUAUUUAAUCUAAACCUGGAUGAUAAUCAAUUAUUUGAUGGUAAUGAUAUCCACUAAUCUCAAACAAAACCACUAUCAAAGAUCAAUGUGCGGCUCAAGUAAAACAUUUACCUUCAACGAUCACUACUCUCUAAUCAAAUUGAUUCCAAAGUGAUGGAAAUAUCUUAAGGUCUGAAUUGUUACAAGAGGAUAUUAAGGGGGUGAAACUAUAUUGGCCCCAGAAUUACUCAAAGAAAAUUUGCAGGGACUCCAUUAAGAUUGUAGAAAUAAUUAAAAUUUUGAAAGAUAUUAUGUUUGUGUGGCUCGACAUCCUGCAUUGUCACUUUUUCCUCUAGUCUCAGCCACAGUAAAAGAGCAAAAGAAAAAGAAGCAAUAAAGACAAAUUAAAGUCCAACAAUUCUUAUAAAAAUCACAUAUCACACUCAGCUUAAAAAACUAAAAAUGAUCUCCAUUCAGCAUAUUGAACAUUGGACUGGCUUAACCAUACAGCGGAAGACAACAACAGAUGGAGAAUGCUUCCCUAUAAACACUAUAAACAUAUGCCACUCAGCUUACCUCCAGUCCUAUCUGGUUUUCUACAUCAAAGAUAGUUGUGGAGUGAAAAUGAAAAGCAAAAGAAUAACUUACUCCUUUUACAUAUCGACAACUUAAACCAAGUAUCAA
rnacentral:lncRNA from 1 species